rnacentral:rRNA from 1 species
AUUGAACGCUGGCGGCAGGCUUAACGCAUGCAAGUCGAGCGGGGACUUCGGUCCUAGCGGCGAACGGGUGAGGAAUGCUUGGGAAUCUGCCCAGCAGCGGGGGAUAACGUUUCGAAAGGAACGCUAAUACCGCAUACGCCCUACGGGGGAAAGGGGGGGAUCUUCGGACAUCUCACUAUUGGAUGAGACCAAGUCGGAUUAGCUAGUUGGUGAGGUAAAGGCUCACCAAGGCGACGAUCCGUAGCUGGUCUGAGAGGAUGAUCAGCCACACUGGAACUGAGACACGGUCCAGACUCCUACGGGAGGCAGCAGUGGGGAAUAUUGGACAAUGGGCGAAAGCCUGAUCCAGCCAUGCCGCGUGUGUGAAGAAGGCCUUCGGGUUGUAAAGCACUUUAAGCGAGGAGGAAGGGCUCUGGGUUAAUACCUUGGAGCAUUGACGUUACUCGCAGAAUAAGCACCGGCUAACUCUGUGCCAGCCGCCGCGGUAACAC